rnacentral:rRNA from 1 species
UGGGGAAUCUUGCGCAAUGGGCGAAAGCCUGACGCAGCGACGCCGCGUGAGUGAUGAAGGCCUUCGGGUUGUAAAGCUCUGUGGGGAGAGAAGAAUAAGUGCGGGCUAAUACCCCGCAUGAUGACGGUAUCUCCUUAGCAAGCACCGGCUAACUCUGUGCCAGCAGCCGCGGUAAGACAGAGGGUGCAAACGUUGUUCGGAUUUACUGGGCGUAAAGGGCGCGUAGGCGGCAUGACAAGUCACUUGUGAAAUCUCUGGGCUUAACCCAGAACGGCCAAGUGAUACUGUCGCGCUAGAGUGCAGAAGGGGCAAUCGGAAUUCUUGGUGUAGCGGUGAAAUGCGUAGAUAUCAAGAGGAACACCUGAGGUGAAGACGGGUUGCUGGGCUGACACUGACGCUGAGGCGCGAAAGCCAGGGGAGCAAACGGGAUUAGAUACCCCCGUAGUCCCUGAGCGGGCUGGCAAGGCGCAU